CAGAACUUACCUGCAUAUGUCUAGCAAUCAUCGUUGGAGGCAGGAGAGUAGCUAAUAGGUCCAACUUGAAAAGAGCUUUCUUACUCUCUCAGUGCUUCAAAGUGUCUGUAGAUUUCCCCUUUCCUCAUGCUUUGUUGGGGGACUCAGAAUGGUCUCUCCUGUGACUGGGCCAUUAAUAUGCAUGUUCCCUUGUGUUUAUCUACAGGGUCUGCUGGGAAGGCAUCAUGCCAACCUUCCACCAUCAAUGAGCAUGUUCAGCAGAUUAAGAAGUAGGAGAAACUGACUAUUGAGCUCAAGAAGAAAACCUCUAUGGAGAUUUUCUUGUUGACUGGGCCCAUAGCUUCAGACCUGAAGUCAGGGAUAUUAUGGACAAUGGAGAUCCAUUUGAAAGAAGCUGCUUAACUUGGAGGAACAGGGAAACAGUGAGCAAGAGUAAGAUGUUUGUCCACCAGGUGAUCCCUUGCUGAGAACAAAGUCUCCUCUUCACAGCCUGAAAACUGGGCAGGCUGGGGUCUGCUGGGAAGGCAUCAUGCCAACCUUCCACCAUCAAUGAGCAAGUUCAGCAGAUUAAGAAGUAGGAGAAACUGACUAUUGAGCUCAAGAAGAAAACCUGUGAGUUGGGUAAACUUCCAGGAAUACUGACCCAUGGCAUCAGCAGAAUUUGAACAAAAGAUAGUUAUUACACCCAGUCAUUCCUUGAUCGUCUUGACCCCUCUGUGUUAAACCCAGUAUUCUCACAUCAGAAGAAACUGCAACUCCAACGUCCUCAUGCACAAACACACUUUUCUGAUGUGCCUCUCAAAAGUAGAACUUGAAGCUAUGGAGAUUUUCUUGUUGACUGGGCUCAUAGCUUCAGACCUGAAGUCAGGGAUAAUAUGGACAAUGGAGAUCCAUUUGAAAGAAGCUGCUUAACUUGGAGGAACAGGGAAACAGUGAGCAAGAGUAAGAUGUUUGUCCACCAGGUGAUCCCUUGCUGAGAACAAAGUCUCCUCUUCACAGCCUGAAAACUGGGCAGGCUGGGUAAGUAGGCAUAGCUAACAAGCCAAUCCAAUUGUGUAAAUGUUUGUACAUAUACAGGGUAUAAAGGGAGAGCAUUUCAUUGACUAAGUUGAAUACAAACCCUGUCCACUAUGUUCUUAUAUCUUGCAAGGAAACUUUGGUGUAUUUUGUCUAUCCUGGGAUCCAGAAAGAUCGCUUCUCACUCUCAUUGUGAUUUCUUCCCUCAUAUGACCCUUAAGAGUACUGAGGAAGUCAGAGAAAAACACAGACAACAAUAAUCUACAUUGUAGAGAUCAAUUACUUCUCAUAAGAAACACUUCCUCAUAGCUGUGAAUUCAGCAGAGGGGCAAGCUGCAACCAAUGCUUGAUACUGCAUCUGAUGUCUGGUAUACAGGCUCAUUGACUAACUAUUCUAUUGGAGAAAGGAAACAUCAAAAGUUAGCAUGAGAACAAAAAAAAAAGACUUAAAAUUGAAUCAGAACUCUGAUACAUAGCAGUAAGUGUUCCCAGUGAGGGUCACAAAUAACAUGAAGGGUAUUACUUGAGCAAGAGUUACUCUGCUGGAGUCCUCAUAUUUCAUAUUUACUUGAAAAUCUGUCACAGCAAACCAUAUUGAUAUCAUACAAUAGUCCAGAGAGACCAUACCCAAAAGUAUAUAAUUCCUACUGAAAUAAAGUGUUGAUAAUACUGCACAUCACACAUUUGUAUGUGAGUCUAAAAUUAAUGUUCUACAUAGAUGAAAGCAUUCCCACAAUCCUUAUCUUAGUCACUUGAUUUUUUUUUUCGUUUGGAAAAUGGCUGAGUAUUCUUCAGUUCCACACCUGAACUGAACUGACUCUUCCUCAGACUGUAUACAUAGUGGACAUCUGAGUAGCAAUUGACAUUUUUAGCCAGGUUGGUCUCCCCAUGGAUCUUUUUGGGCAUGAAUAAGCAUGCAUAGACAUAUUUUACUAAAGGAUUCAUGUAGUAGCCUAAAUAUUACAGGAUCCCAUUGCUGUAAAUAAUUUUAUUUUACACAGCAGAAGGAAGGUGUAUCAAAGGCUGUGUAUCAAACGUUGUAGAUAUUACACCAUCCAUAGAUGAUAAUAUAUCAAGAAGAAUCCCUUAGGAUUACACACAUUGAUCUAGAAACUCACAGACGAUUCUAAUCCAGGACAGGUAAUCACUUGGCUUGGAAACUUACAAUAAUAUAAUGCUCCAGAUCUAUGUGGAGUGUUAAUAGAUAAUGAGAAACCACCUAAAAAGCAUAUGCAUAAGUACAAGAUGCUAUUCAAAAAUUAUCCAGAGGGAGUUUGGCAACCUACAUUCAGCACAAAGAGAUUGAUUCGUCACUUCACAGAUUCUGAUCAGAUCAAUUUAGUAUUGAGAAAACUAUAUGAGAACUCACUUGCUUAU